AGAGUUUGAUCCUGGCUCAGGACGAACGCUGGCGGCGUGCCUAAUACAUGCAAGUCGAGCGGAUUCAUCCUUCGGGAUGAGUUAGCGGCGGACGGGUGAGUAACACGUAGGCAACCUGCCUAUAAGAUCGGGAUAACUAUCGGAAACGAUAGCUAAGACCGGAUAGCUGGUUUUCUCGCAUGAGAGAAUCAUGAAACACG
rnacentral:rRNA from 1 species